rnacentral:misc_RNA from 1 species
UUCACUUGUUCCUUCAUAUUUUGCAUGAUGUCCUGGUUCAAUGGGAGCUGCCUCAGCCCGGCCCUCAAAUUCCUAAGAUGCCAUUGCUUGUAUGUCUCCGGCCUUUCAAGCCUCUCUGAUCCUUCACAAGCUAUCACAUUGAAGAUCCGCUUCGCGUAUAUCUCUUGCUCAAGGACCAUCCUCUCCGGAACAUUGUGGGAUACAUUGGCUUCAAGCAUAUCAAACAGCGAUGAGAAAUAGAAAAGUGCCUCUCGAAAUCUUGUGGUGAAGAAGGGAGCAUUAUAGCCCCCGUUAACUAUCCCAUGAAUGAAGACACUUGGAUUCAUCCUCCUUAUCAAGUUAAGAACAGCAUCCCUCUGGCAGUUGAUGUCCAUAUGAUCUGUUGUCUCUCAUCAAGCAGGUUCCUGGACCGAUAUAAACACGUGACUAUGGUCAUUUCGUCUCUGUCAAUCUUGAAAUCCUCAAAUUGGAUACUUUCCCAUUUUUUUGAUACCGCAGUAUACUCAAACGGGACAUUAAGUCUCUCACAAAAACUCGCUAAGUAACUUCCUGUUUCCUCAAGCUUUGGUGAUGAAUCAAAAACAGGUUCAGGGAUUUCUAUUCUUGUAACACGAAGAACAGGAGGCCCUCCAGGUCUUGUUGAGAGAUGCUGGAUUAGGAAGGACCAUAGGAAACCAUAUACAACACCAAAGUGUAUGAUGUGGAGCCUAUCUGCUUUCUCUGCAACUUCCAUAAUGG